AUAUGUAUUGAUCUCUAUCUGGAUUUGACUGGGGCUUAGGGGAGGGGAGGCGAGAGCGAGCGAGAGAAGGAGCGCGCGGGUCGGGAUGCCCCCAAAUAACCUCCCUGAAACUGUAACAGACGAGAAGAGACAACUUCAUCUUCUGCCCUCCCCCGCCCAGUGCCUUUACAGGACGGAGCGCAAGAAGGAGACCUCCUUAGAAAGCACUCGGUUUAUUUGUCCUUCUUCCUUCUGUGUUACACAUCUGGCUGGCUAGCACACACUCACACUCACACUCACACUCACACUCACACUCCGUUACAACAGCAGCACCCUCGACGCCAGGUCUACCGAAAUUGCAGCCCGCCCGCCGGCGAGAGCCAGGCUCCGAAGCCAGACGCUUGAUACUUUUUCUUUGCCUUCUAAAAGAGACAUGAUGCAAGUUCAUUUGGACACACAGAGGCUGCUGUUUCACUUUGGGCCGAUACCAUCUCAUCCCUGCAGCCCUCAGGAAGGAAAUCAUAAACUCUUCAGAAAUGGAUGUGAGCCUCCAGAGAAGGAAAUUCAUCCCAGAGUGAUUAAGGGAAUGGAACACCAUGGAACGCCAUCUGCUGAGGUGUUGAUGUGAGGAGCUUGAAUGCUAGCAUUGCUGGAAUUCCCAAGAAGAAACCCA